GCCUGAGUAGCUCAGUCGGUUAAGUGUCUGACUUCAGCUCAGAUCAUGAUCUCACAGUCCGUGAGUUCGAGCCCCGCAUCGGGCC
rnacentral:tRNA from 1 species